GGAGAUAACAGAGCUAACGGAGCUAACGGACGCUAUCUAACCGGGACUGCGGAGCGUCAGCUGUUACCAAACCGGGGCUAAUAACGGGACCAGCUGACAGGCCACCGGGACACCACGCUGCACCGCGCUGACCCGGUUCGGUUCGGCCACUGGGAGCCAGGAUGUUGAUAGCAGCGGUCGGUGCUGGAACUGGAAACCCCGCCUCCACCGGCAAGAAGAACCGGCGGAGAGGCAAAAAGAACCGGAGGGUCCGAAAAGAGGAGGGAAGGUCUGAUGACCUCUGCGAUCUUCAGAGUGUGAACACUGAC